rnacentral:rRNA from 1 species
CCUACGGGAGGCAGCAGUGGGGAAUAUUGCACAAUGGGGGAAACCCUGAUGCAGCGACGCCGCGUGAGUGAAGAAGUAUUUCGGUAUGUAAAGCUCUAUCAGCAGGGAAGAAAAUGACGGUACCUGACCAAGAAGCCCCGGCUAACUACGUGCCAGCAGCCGCGGUAAUACGUAGGGGGCAAGCGUUAUCCGGAUUUACUGGGUGUAAAGGGAGCGUAGACGGUUGUGCAAGUCUGGAGUGAAAGUCGAGGGCUCAACCACGGGACUGCUUUGGAAACUGUGUAACUGGAGUGCAGGAGAGGUAAGUGGAAUUCCUAGUGUAGCGGUGAAAUGCGUAGAUAUUAGGAGGAACACCAGUGGCGAAGGCGGCUUACUGGACUGUAACUGACGUUGAGGCUCGAAAGCGUGGGGAGCAAACAGGAUUAGAUACCCCAGUAGUC